rnacentral:misc_RNA from 1 species
GGGGAGUACGUUCGCAAGAAUGAAACUCAAAGGAAUUGACGGGGGCCCGCACAAGCGGUGGAGCAUGUGGCUUAAUUCGAUGCAACGCGAAGAACCUUACCCGGGCUAAAUCUCGGGCGAUCGCUCCCGAAACGGAGCUUCCCUUCGGGGCGCCCGCGAAGGUGCUGCAUGGCUGUCGUCAGCUCGUGCCGUGAGGUGUUGCCUUAAGUGGCGCAACGAGCGCAACCCCUGUGGUUAGUUACCAGCACGUUAUGGUGGGGACUCUAGCCAGACUGCCUACGCAAGUAGUGAGGAAGGUGGGGAUGACGUUCGUCUGAC